rnacentral:rRNA from 1 species
UACGGGGGGGCAAGCGUGUUCGGAAUUACUGGGCGUAAAGGGCUUGUAGGUGGCCAACUAAGUCAGACGUGAAAUCCCUCGGCUUAACCGGGGAACUGCGUCUGAUACUGGAUGGCUAGAGUGUGGGAGAGGGAUGCGGAAUUCCAGGUGUAGCGGUGAAAUGCGUAGAUAUCUGGAGGAACACCGGUGGCGAAGGCGGCAUCCUGGACCACGGCUGACACUGAAAAGCGAAAGCCAGGGGAGCAAACGGG